rnacentral:rRNA from 1 species
GAUGAACGCUGGCGGCGUGCCUAAUACAUGCAAGUCGAGCGAACAGAUAAGGAGCUUGCUCCUUUGACGUUAGCGGCGGACGGGUGAGUAACACGUGGGUCACCUACCUAUAAGACUGGGAUAACUUCGGGAAACCGGAGCUAAUACCGGAUAACAUUUGGAACCGCAUGGUUCUAAAGUGAAAGAUGGUUUUGCUAUCACUUAUAGAUGGACCCGCGCCGUAUUAGCUAGUUGGUAAGGUAACGGCUUACCAAGGCGACGAUACGUAGCCGACCUGAGAGGGUGAUCAGCCACACUGGAACUGAGACACGGUCCAGACUCCUACGGGAGGCAGCAGUAGGGAAUCUUCCGCAAUGGGCGAAAGCCUGACGGAGCAACGCCGCGUGAGUGAUGAAGGGUUUCGGCUCGUAAAACUCUGUUAUUAGGGAAGAACAGCCGUGUAAGUAACUGUGCACGUCUUGACGGUACCUAAUCAGAAAGCAACGGCUAACUACGUG